ACUGCUGAUGAAACCCAAACAGGUUGAAACAACUGUCCAGAGU
rnacentral:hammerhead_ribozyme from 1 species